AGCAGCCCCCCAGUAUAGCCACACCCAACAGGCCCCACCCCUGGCCCAGCCGCACCCCAGCAGGCCCAGCCCACUGGCCCAGCCACACCCCAUCAGGCCCCGCCCUGGCCCUACAUGGUGGGCAAGCCACGUCACACCCCACCCCACAGCCACGCUUCAGCAGGCCAUGCCCUGGGCACAUUCAGCCCUGGCAGAGGGCACCUCAUGGCAAGGCCACUUCCCGGCAGUCCCCUUCCUUGCAUAGCCACACCCAUCGUCUCUGAGUGGGAGAUGGAAAGGCCAUGGCCCCCCGCACAGCCAUGUCAAUCAUUGCCAAAGGCUGGAUAAGCCACACCCCCGAAGCCAACCUGGGAAGCCCCGCCUCUUUCAGAGCCACACCACAACCGGCAGAGGGCAGCACAUCUUCCAUUCCUCCCACGCUGCUGAUAGGCCUUGCUCCAUCAAGCCGCCUGGAGGCCCGCCCCCAAGCUAAGCAGAAUUUGAACCCCAGGCCCACGAGGAUGGGCACUGGCCAUGGAUCACCUCAUCCCACAAGAAGACGAGGCUGUGGGAGGCAGAGGGGAAGGGCUGCUGGGCUAAGACCUGCCUUCAAUGGGGUGUGGCUCUCUGGGCUAAGCCCCAGCCCCUGGGCACAGCAAAGGCGGGGUGUGGCUUAUUUUUUCCAAAACUCAUGAUGAAAUGUCAUAGGAUCACAAAGUGUCUUCAGCUCGGGCUGGGGGUGGGGGGUGGAAAUGGAGCAGGUGGAGAUAAUUGGGGGGAAGGGGAGAAAGGGGGUUAUUACAAGCACAAAUAAGGGAGGUAUUUUAUACUCAUGCUGAUGUGUUGCUGUUUAAACACAGUGGGGCUCUCUCCAGACUGGUAUCAACAAUCCUCACCUCCAACACUAUGUGGCCGUUAAACAGCCCUUGCACCCAGCCCUAGAGGUGGCUGCAUCUCAGUGCAGGGUGAGGGAUUCCUGUAUAAACAACCCCUGUGCCCUGCCCAGAGGUGGCUGCAUCACAGCACUAGGGUGGGAUCUCUGUAUAAACAGCCCCUGUGCGCCACCACAGACACAAUGGGGUGGGAACAGGCUGGGAGGCCUUUCCCCCCUAGGGGGUGCCGGUGUGUGGAGGGGUGAUUGCCUGCUUAUGGGGAUCCUACUGUGUUCCACAAUGUGUCUUGUCUUUUAUUUUGCUUUUUAUACACUCAGUUAUGCUGAAGCAUUAAGUAUUUAUUGUAAUUUUGGGCUCUUUUAAGGAGCGUUCAUGACAGCACUCUGGGCUCUGUUCCAGCUUGGAGACAGGAUCGGGAAGAGGGAAAAGCCAGAGAGCCUGGGGGCCAAGAAUAAUGGGUCCUGUGGGGGGAGAGGGAUUGUAGGCAGAGCUUUCUGGUCUGAAAGAGGACAGCAAUAACGCUGAUGAGACAGAAGAGCUCAGGACAUGAGACCAAGGCCUGGCCCUCUAAGGGGUGCCAGCUCGGAUCCAUCCCAAGCACUGGCUGGCUCAAACUCUGGGCAGUGGGCCAGGGGCCUUUCCCUUCUGGGGGCGCUGGUCCCAGGUUACUUGCUGGGGGAGCAGGCAGGGCCCGGGUGGGCUUUUUCUUGCUGAGCUAGGAUUGUAUCUGGGUCACAUUUUUUUUCUUUUACUGUAUAAGCCCAAAAUGCUUCUUCACUCUCACUGCUGUCAGGUGCCCAGCGGGCACUGGCACGCACGGGUCAUUUCUACCCGGCGUGUGCUCACUGCUCUCCUUCGUCUUCCAUGGAGCGUUGCGGGAAAAUGUUCACACCAGGGCAAUAAAUGGGGAUCGCUUCAGGGUCCGAGGCCGGAAGAGACCGUUGUGAUCUCUCAUCGGACCGCCUGCAUAGAGCAGGCCAGAACUGCCCCAAAUAAUUCCUGGAGCAGAGCUUUCAGCAUGGGGCUGCAGGGAUAGACAGAGGGGUCUGUAUGGGGAUGGAGCGAGAGCAGAUGCAAGGAUGGAGAAAGAGAAUCCAGUGGGAAAAGUCAGUGGGAGCAGAGCCACAUGGAACAUCCUGGAGCAGGGAGGGGCAGUGUGGAGACCUCUCAGGAGAAAGACCCGCUGGAGAAGAGCUGCAAAUUUUUCAAGCCUCCCUACUCCAUCCUGAAGGC